GUAAAAGCACUGAGUGGUCGAAAAGACUAGAAAGGCACUAUAUGGAGCAUUUGUUAUUAUGGUUGAAGAUCCGCUUUUAGCUGUAUGAUGCAGCAAACCUUCUGAUGGAUUGAGAGAAUAGUAAGUGACCCCCUCAGCCUGUCAACAGCAGUCAUCUUUCGGCUUAAGAUGAAAGAGUAAUUGUUGGAUGUAGAAAGUGGUGUGUCUGAUUAUUGUAAAAUACUUUUGUCUACAGCCUAUGUGGUGAAAAUGUAGGUCUUAGAUGUUGCAAAGAGCAAACGCCAGCAAACGCAGUUAGUGAAUCGGGGCGGAUUUAUGUGUGAAGCAGACAUGUGAGUGUGUUACUGCCACUGUUAAAAGUCGGAUAUCUGAUGGCUUAACAAAGUGUAAUUUCGGAUGUAGAAACAAAACAUGUUUUUAUCUCAUCCUAUAGGCCUACUAUAGUAUCCUACGUGAUACGUUCUGUUAUCUCUAUAUACAGACAAAAUGGUUGCGUAUCGCAGCAAAUGAGGUUUAAUUUCAAUCUUCAGGUCAUUACAUGUAAAUUAUAUCAUUUGUAACACAUCUUGUGUGGAUUCUGAAAACAGAUGAUGUUUAUUUAAAUAUAUCCUUUAUAUCCCGACUAGUCCGCAGUUCAGAGGCAGUGCUUUUUACAUCGGUUAUAAAAAAGGCUGUUAUGAGUUUGAAUAGAUAAGAUCUGUUUUUCUUAUAAAUGUUGAUUGAUAAAAUUCUAUUUCAGCAAAAUAGUAGGUCUAUGUAGGCGUAUAUUUGUGAUUUAUUAGACUAAAUCUAAACGGGUGGUCUCUCUUCCUGAUCCUGUCCAGAGAUGCCUUGACAUGAUUGGUUCAGAAACAACAAAAAGGUUGUAAAUAAGAUAGGUGUGUAAAAAGGGUUGUGUUUUGACUACAAGAAGGUUGAAGAUAUCCCCACAAAGCACCACUUUUAUAGUCAGAAACUCUGUUGCUGUUUGCUGCUGUGUCUCACUUCAACUCCAAUCCAAGAUGUGUCUUGUUGCUGCUCUGAAUUGCAUCGAUGUCUCAAACCGUGAUGAUGCGGCAGGCAGGAGACAGCGGAUAGCUCAUUUCUUAAGAAGAACAUCACUUAUUUGACGGAGAACGACCGGCGCACGAUGAAGACCCCGCUGUGACACAAAAUGGGUGCAGAAAUGAUUCCCCGUGGGGCAACAGGUCUUCCCGAGUCUGAAGCAAUAGAGCCAGACUAUGCUGAAUUGGAAAUCAUUGUCAUAGAGGACACACAGGAGAGAGAAAACAGCGCUCCCUCGUCACCAUCGAUCCCUGCUGAGGUCUAUCCGGACACCCUCCAACUUUAUCGCCUGGCUCAAAUUGUUGCUGUUGGUCUGCUAGAAUCAUCUGUUAACGGAUUGUUAACGGUUUGGACUGAUGCACAGGAUGUGAAUUGGAGGGAAGACGAGCAAUUGGUUGAAACGGCUACCGCCAGUGUUUCUCAACCUUUGGAUUCCCUUGCUUUAUCAUUUAAAUUGCACGCGUGGACCGAAGAUGAACUCCAAUCAUGGCAUGCACGCGGUUUUCCUGAUGAACAGAUGACAACUCAUAGUAAGCCUUCCAACAUAUCUGUAACUGCCAAACAGCCAAUUCAUCAACCCAUGGUAACAUUGCCGGCAGGAGUGUAUCAGCGACUGGUUACUCUAAAAAAGCCAAUUUGCACACUAACCGGUUCACAAAAUCUCUAAUUCUACUCAGAUAGCGUUUUUAAUGUUAAAAACCCAUCAGCAAAUUAGAAAUGAGAGUAUGCGACUUAGGAAGGAGACUUUAGAGUUAAAAGCUAAAAUAGAUUAUCUCUUAAAAUUCAAAAGACUAACAAAUUAUACUGUGUCAGAUUUCCCCCCCCCCCAUUCUGUUUAGUAGCGUCUUUAAUCAUGAGUUGGAAACGCCUGUGCAAAUCAUUUCAUCAAAAACGAGUCUCCCCAGUAACAAGCAACGAGUUGGAGGUGAUGAUCGAAUUUUGCUAGUACUUCAGAUGUAAUUGAGAAAGAUGGAAUUUAACCAUAAGGCCAUCCACUCAGAUUUAGAAGAUGUAGAAAAAGAGCUCUGGGAUGCAUCGGUGGCAUACGAUCAGUCUCUGUCCGAUUUGGAAACUGUUUUGAUGAUGACAACUAUGAUAUGGAAAUGACAGCGGCUGAAACUCUUCAUCAUUUGCACAACAUUGGUGUUUUGAACGGGAACGUCUCAGAUGAUAUUUAACCAGAGGACGCAGUUCCUUCUCCACACGUAUACAUAGUCCCCCUGCGCAAACAGGUGAAGAUCAACCUUCACAGGCAUAUGCAUUUCGCACUUCACACACUGGGGGUAAUUCUGUGUCUGAGAGACAAAAUAUUCAAUUCGGCUCCAAAACAAAUAUACCUGAUCAAAGCCAGCGUUACAGCAAAGAAUUGUCUGAACUCAUACAAAAGGCAGGGGCAUGGCGGGGGUUUAAUAUUACAGAGAGAAAAAAAUUUAACGGUGUGGAAAUAAGAAUAUAAGUGCGAGUUAUUGCAUGCUCUAAAACAUCAGUUAACAGAAAUUGUUGAUUUUUCAUCAAGAGCAGCUGCUCCUGACAGUCAGCUAAAUGUGGUCUUGAGAAGACCAUCCAUGGCGAACGAUACGUGUUGUGUUCUAAAUGCUGCUGACUAUAAUGCUUUGACAUUUCUGAAUGAAGUUGAACAAAUUAUGUAGAGUAAUUCCAGAAUGAGAUCUGACAGUGAUUUGGAUAUUGUUGUUACAGUGGCCAUCAACAAGCGCGGGGGAGGAGGGUUGCGGCUCAAAUUAGGGAAUAUCCCUAAUGAAAUAAAUGAUUACAUUUGUCAAAAGAAAGCAGCAUGCCUAUAUGUCCCUACAAACGCUGACAACAACCUUUGUUUUUCUUAGUGCGUCUCCUGCUCUGUACCCUCACCUGUCUAAAGUACAACUUGGCCAGCAUGCACAGCAACUCCAGACAGGGUUUAAUGCAGACCAUGAAGUUGCCCUGUCUGAUGUGUCCAAAUUUGAACGCUUUUUGGAUGUUAAAAUUAUCGUGUUUCAUCACAAUCAAGGCACAAAGAAAGGAUUUGUAUCAUAUGCGAGAACAAAAUCACCAGAAGACAGUAUGGCUGUAUCUGCACAACGAUCACUUUUACCUGACAGAAAAAAAAGAGAGAGAAAAAAAAAAAACUUUCAUUUUUCGGGAGUUCUUAUGUUUGUGAUUUCUGCCACAAAUGCUACUCAAACAAAGAUUGCCAUAAAUGUAAAUAUUUUUGCAACAUGUGCUUUUCUGAUGUCAUGUGCAGAGUACUACAGGCAUUUGUUCAGACUGUGGCCGCAUAUACAGAUCAGAUUGUUUUAACAGACAAAACCGUGAGAUUCAGAAAAGUACAAGGGCUUUACUUUAUGUGAUAAAUAUUGCAAGGACUGUGGUUUUCAUUUUUCUGUAAAAACAGGCGGUGUAGGACACACAUGCCGGAGGAGGAGUUGUGGUCAUUGUGGGGGUGAUUUAGCAUUAGAUGUUCAACGCCCCAGACUAAAUGUGUUUUAUGACUUUGAAACACAAACACUUGACCCGUAAGCACGAGGCCAUGUUCGUAUGUGCCAUUGAUUUUGAGAACGAGCGCUGGUGUGCCUCAGGAGUAGACUGUGUUGACCUCUUUGUGAAAAAAUACAGGCAACCAAAAUAUAAAAAUUACACCCACAACGCAUCAGGGUUUGACAACUACAUUUUGCUUGAUUAUUUCACAAAACAGGGUAUAACACCAAAGCUAAUAAUGAGGUAGCAAAGCUUUUGAUGCUUGAUGUUGCAUUCAGACAGAGAUGGAUUCCUACUGCUUUCUCCCUAUGCGCUUGUCUAAAACACCUUCCGCUAUGGGUUUUUCAGAUUCACAUUCAAAAUAAAUUUUUCCACAUCUUUUCAACACUCCAGAGAAUGUUAAUUAUGUUGGUUCAUACUCUGAUUUGCAUUUUUACAGCUAUAACAGUAUGUCUGACUGUGAAAGAGCAAAACUCCUUGAAUGGUAUGACACAGUUUGCGAUGAAACGUUUAAUUUUCAGGCAGAGCUGAGGUCAUAUGGAAUAAACGAUGUCCUGCACAAAGCCUGCUUAGCAUACCGCAAAGUAUUCAUCGGAUGUACCAGUAUGGAUCCUUUUGAUUACACUACCCUCGCUUCGUGCUGCAUGUCUGUAGUCAAAACAAUUCCUCCCUCCCAACACCCUGUCGUUAAUGUAUGACGGUGCGUACAUGAACCCAGAGAUGGGGACUUGAGUUAGAGACUCGGACUCGAGUGCGACUUAAGUCACACACACACACAGUGACUUCAGACUCGACUUGAGACUCGUCCUCAAAAGACUUCAGACUCGACGAGCGUCGUCUGUAUGCUGGCACAGACAGUUUGCCGUUUGUGUCAAAGGCAGACGACUGGACACCAGAGACUGGGCCCUAUUUAGGAGAUCUUACUGAUGAGAUUAAUGGAGACACCGGUGGCGAUGACUAUUUAGUGGAAUUUGUCUCUGGUGGGCUGACAAAAUCAGACACUAUAGUAAGAAUCUGUCCUUUGGUUCCAAAUCCCAUUCAAUACAAUAGGAUUUUCACCACAGUAUUUGAGCUUUGAUUAUAGCACCACCUAUAAGCCGAAUUGCACCAAGAUUUUGAGGUGUCAUCAGGGGCCCAUGGGGAACAAAUGUCCAAAAUUUUGAAUCAAUUGGACUUGUGGUUAUGGAGAUAUAAAAUGAAAGUCAAUGGGAUUUUUUAUGUCUUUGAUCUGCAGUAACAGCGCCACCAAGUGGGCAUAUUUGGGUGAACUUUUGGUCUAUGGAGUCAGGGGACCAUUCUGAACAAUUUCGGCUCAAGUUUCAUGUCAAUGCGGAUUGAGGUUAUAGAGGAACAAUUAUUUGUUAAAUAGCGCCACUUAGGGGCCAGUAGCACCAAAUUUUGUACAGCCCAUCAGGGGGCCAUGGCACACUAGCCAAAUGUAAGAUAUGACGUCACUUCCUGAUUUUAGUAUUUUUCACAAACAUUUGUUAGUUUAUAAUUCCAACAGUUUUUUGAGUAUCAAUCUGGGGGAGCACAAACCUUCAUCAGCUUUCUAAAAAUAGAUUUCAGUUAUGGCAAUGUGGCAGAAAUGGGCCUGGCCUAUACCAUGAGAUUCAGCUGGAUCCCCCGAACGCAUAAAUGUAAGGUUUUUGAUAUGCGCCUGUGUGAGUGUGAGUUCCAAGCCCAAUCACAAUUACCUUGUGUAUAGCGUCCCCUAGAGGUAGAAGUGUGUGAAUUUUUGCACUUGAGGUACUUGCAGGGGUGUGGAGCUACCCUAUGAGUUUCGCAGCUGUAGCACUUACCGUCCAGGCUGCAGUACCACUUUUAGCGGCGGAACAAACAAGAGGGCGCCGUGAUACCCAGAGUUCUUUUACCAGAGAAGAGCUCAAACAUCAGGAGAACACCACCAGUAGAUUUAAUUCCGACUUUUCUCAUGUCAGUGGAAAUUUUGGACACUUUGGUCAAGGCUUCACUUUCCGCUGUUCAUGUGGUGAGACGACAGGGAGGACGCUCGACUUUGUUUGUUUUUCCAUUGCGGAAAAGUUGUACAUGUACCUGCUUCCAGGUACUUUUCCUAUUACCUUCAUUGAGGUUCUAAGCGAGCUGAGGCGAUACUAUACUGAGGUGAAAACACGGCAGACUGCUGAUGAGAGAAUCGUCACUAUUCACUGCGUCAUUGUGCGUUCCAGACGGAGUAACCAUGAACAACUCCGCCAUUUUUAAAUAGUUUGGCCAGAGGAGACUCCUCCUCCUCCAUCAAACGAGGAGGUGCAGACUUUCCAUUGUUUAGUUGCCGACGAGAGGAUCCAGCGAGAGCUUGAUGGGGCAAUGAGGUACGAAAAAGUGUAUCAAGAAGUGUGCUGUCCACACACGGCUACAAAAGGACAUUCCAGCAAUGUAGGGAAAAGUAAAGAAAACUGAAAAGUGACUACAGAGCUGUAAAGGACACAGUGGUUCAAGCCGAAAAAGCUGGAAGUGGUAUGAACAGAUGGACGGUAUCUACGGCCAUAGACUGGCGAGCAACGGGAGGGAGGGUGGACUUGACUCGGCCACCAGUUUGUUGGAGUCUCUGAUGGAGGAUGGUAAAUGUUUAAGUUUAACAUUAAUUCUGUGGGCACACUCUGCUUGAGAGUUUUGUUUUCUGUAGGCUGGCUUUUGGAAAGCUAAAGCUCACUUAUAACAGCGAGGACUACUAAGUCGUAAACUUGUGUCACCAUGUCUUUUAUGUAGCAGCUGUAAUAAUACAUGUGAACAAUUUAAAACACACAACCUUUGAAUGACAUGCGAGUUCAAAUGUUAGCUACAUUAGCAUAACUUACUCUCUUGCGUUGGCUUUGAAAACCCGGGGUCGUCUCGUAGUCUGAACUCUGUAGUAAUUCCCAAACUCUACGGUUGUUUUUCAGCAGCGUUUCAUUUUGGUGCCUUCAGCUUCUCCUGAAACAACAUUUGUCUUCAUGCUGUGAGAAAGCCGAGGAUCAAAAACAGCAUUCACUUGAUUUCCUCCAUUGUCGUGUGUGUGUGUGUGUGUGUGUGUGUGUGUGUGUGUGUGUGUGUGUGUGUGUGUGUGUGUGUGUGUGUGUGUGUGUGUGUGUGUGUGUGUGUGUGUGUCUCUCAGGUGUUUAUCGCAUAGAAGAUUACGUCACGGCAGUUUCCUGCUGCGUCGGUAUGAUGACCAGGUACUAUUGUGGAGGUGCUAUCUGCAUUGGAAAAUGAAGCGCAAAGCGAGUUGAGGCGAGUCAAGCUGGUAUUGGUGAUGGAAAAGCACCAAAAGUGACCAACCAGAGAGGGUAACACUUUGGAUCACUACACCACAGUUAGCAGUGCGUAUCACACUGUCCCUCGAGCUCUACUGGGACACUUUGACCACACAAUGGUUCACUUGAUUCCUGCUUACAGAGAAAAAUUAAAACACUGUAAACCUGUAGUAAGGACAUCAAAGCAGUGGACCAGUGAAGCUGUAGAGAACCUCCAGGCGUGUUUGGACUGCACUGACUGGGAUGUUUUCAGGUCUGUUACCAACAACCUGGGGGAGUAUGCAGAGGCUGUGACGUCCUAUAUCAAUUUCUGUGAGGACAGCUGCAUACCAACAUGCACCAGGGUGAGAUGUGAGACAGCUGUACGCAGAAAGAUUACAGCACCAGUUCUCAAAUAAUGAUGCUUCUGUCUAUAGAGGCUUCAGAUCACCAGCUACAAACCUAAAUCCUCCCACCCCAUGAACGACUCAAGCCUUGCCAAUGAUGAAAUGUCGUUUUGAAAGACAAUGGGACAGACCUGACACCAUCCCCCAUCACACCACUGAUCGGCCACAGUCCUCUAUCUCAUCCUCCACCUCCUACCCCUCUCAACAUCCUGGAGAGGGAUGUCAGACUGUUCAGGAGGCAGAAACCUCGCAAAGCAGCUGAGCCGGACUCUGUCUCCUCAUCCACCCUGAAGCACUGCGCCAAUCAGCUGUCUCCGGUGUUCAGACAUUUUUAAUACCUCGCUGGAGACAUGCCAUGUGCCAGCCUGCAUCAAAGCCUCAAUCAUCUCUGUCCCCCCCAAAAAAAACAAUUACCACUGGACUAAACGACUACAGACCCGUCACCCUAACCUCUGUGGUUAAGUCUUUGAGCACUGUAAUGGGAAUUCCAUGAGUACCAGCUCCAAACACAGUCAUGUAAUUACAGUGUGGGAGGAUUUACUGGUGUCCUUUUUAGACCGAUUUCAUAUUUCAUUAUUGGUCCCUGAUUCCAGGGUGGUGCCCCAUAGUUAUUAAUGACAAUUAAUACAUAUAGAUAUUAAUAAUUUUAUUAAUAUUUCUAGAAUGAUAUUGAUAUUCUGUCAUGGGUUGGUCUCUCUCCCCUUUUUUCCUUUUGUUCUCCGUUUCCCCGCCCCUGUUGUUUCUGUCAGUCAUGUGUCUCUUGUCCCAUGUCUGUGUGUGAUUGGGCGUAUCUGAGCCUGGCCUCUCUCCACCUGCAGCACUCCGCACCUGGGACUCAUCAACUCAUCAACGCCUCCAGUCUUAAGCUCUGGUUCAGUCUCCACUCGUUGCCAGUUCGUCCGUUUACCUACAGUGGUAUUUUGCUCCGGCCAAUUUCCUAGUUUGACUAAAAUACCUUUUUGUGACUUUGCCUAUCCUCUUGUUUCCUGUCUGCCACAGUUCCACCCUGGUGCGGUGUCGCUGCCAGCCUGCCUGUAUUCUGGAUCGCCAGCCCGUUGCUCACAGCCUGCCAGUCUGCCUGCCCGUCCUGACACUAUGCAAUCGGAUCCCCCCGAGACUGGAAACUCUCCUCCGCCAGCCCCCCGAACUCCUUUGCCAUCUCUGAGCUCUUUAAAUAAAGUCCUGCCUGUGUGCCUGCCUA